rnacentral:rRNA from 1 species
GGCGGAUGCUUGCAUCUGCCGAUGGCGACCGGCGCACGGGUGAGUAACGCGUAUCCAACCUACCUUCAAGCAGGGGACAAUCCGUAGAAAUGCGGUCUGAUACCCUAUGUAUUCCAACGAGGUCCUCCGUGUUGGAAGAAAGGUUUAUCCGCUUGUUGAUGGGGAUGCGUCCGAUUAGCUUGUUGGCGGGGCAACGGCCCACCAAGGCAACGAUCGGUAGGGGUUCUGAGAGGAAGGUCCCCCACACUGGAACUGAGACACGGUCCAGACUCCUACGGGAGGCAGCAGUGAGGAAUAUUGGUCAAUGGGCGUAAGCCUGAACCAGCCAAGUAGCGUGCAGGAUGACGGCCCUAUGGGUUGUAAACUGCUUUUAUACGGGGAUAAAGUGCGCCACGUGUGG